AUGGGCAGCAGCAUGAAGAAUUUAAUGUUAUAUUGCAAAAUGUUUGUGAUUAGUUUAGAUGGGAGGUCAGUGUGAUAAAGGAGAAAAUCUAACAAUUAACUGUGCUGUUUGUUUUGUCAAAAUAUGCUGCCCAGCUCCAGAGUUUCCGAUUUUGGAGAAGCGGAAUUGGUUGAUACAUCUCCACUAUAUCCGGAACGAUUAUGAAGCAUGCAAGGCUGUUAUCAAAGAACAGCUUCAGGAGACCCAGGGGCUAUGUGAAUAUGCUAUCUAUGUCCAAGCACUGAUAUUUCGCCUGGAAGGAAAUAUUCAAGAAUCCCUAGAACUCUUUCAGACAUGUGCUGUUCUCAGCCCACAGAGUGCUGAUAACCUCAAGCAGGUGGCCAGGUCUUUAUUUCUUUUGGGGAAACAUAAAGCUGCCACUGAAGUAUAUAAUGAAGCAGCUAAACUUAACCAGAAAGACUGGGAGAUCUAUCAUAACCUAGGAGUUUGCUACAUUUAUCUGAAACAGUUCAACAAGGCACAAGACCAAUUGCACCAUGCCCUACAUCUUAAUAGGCAUGAUCUGACUUACAUAAUGCUGGGGAAGAUUCACUUGCUGGCGGGAGACUUGGACAAGGCCAUCGAAAUCUACAAGAAAGCUGUGGAGUUCUCACCAGAAAAUACAGAACUUCUUACAACUUUAGGAUUACUCUACUUACAGGUUGGCAUUUACCAGAAGGCAUUUGAACACCUCGGAAAAGCUCUAACUUAUGACCCUGUCAACUACAAGGCCAUCUUGGCAGCAGGCAGCAUGAUGCAGACCCAUGGAGACUUUGAUGUUGCCCUCACCAAAUACAGAGUUAUAGUUUCUGCUGUUCCAGAAAGUCCUCCACUUUGGAAUAACAUUGGAAUGUGUUUCUUUGGCAAGAAGAAAUAUGUAGCAGCUAUCAGCUGCCUAAAACGAGCCAACUACUUGGCACCCUUUGAUUGGAAGAUUCUCUAUAAUCUGGGCCUCGUUCACUUGACCAUGCAGCAGUAUGCAUCAGCUUUCCAUUUUCUCAGUGCAGCCAUCAACUUCCAGCCAAAGAUGGGGGAACUAUAUAUGCUCUUGGCGGUGGCUUUGACCAAUCUGGAAGAUACAGAGAAUGCCAAGAGAGCUUAUGCCAAAGCAGUCCGCCUGGAUAAGUAUAACCCUUUAGUCAACUUGAACUAUGCUGUGCUGCUAUACAACCAGGGUGAGAAGAGGGACGCCUUGGCCCAGUAUCAGGAGAUGGAGAAGAAAGUCAACCUACUCAAGGACAGUAGCUCUUUAGAAUAUGACUCUGAGAUGGUGGAGAUGGCUCAGAAGUUGGGAGCUGCUCUCCAGGUUGGGGAGGCACUGGUCUGGACAAAACCAGUUAAAGACCCCAAAUCAAAGCAACGGACAACUUCAACCAGCAAAGCUGUCAGUUUCCAGCAGCCUCUGGGCUCUAAUCAAGCUCUAGGACAGGCAAUGUCUUCAGCGGCUGCAUACAGCAAGCUACCCUCAGCAAUGUCCUGAGCACCUUUCACUUAGCUGGGACCUAAGGAGGCUGAAAUUCCAAGAGUCAAGCUGACUGCACUCCCUCACCCCUGCUGCCCACCGGUGGUUUCCAGGCACUUGGUCCAGAAGCAUUAGUCACAGCCCCUGGCACAGAGUGCUCACUCAGCACCUACUAAUCUGAUCCCAGUAGAGCAAGCAUGUCAAACUUGCAGCCCACAAUGAGUAUUUUGGCGGCCCAGCCAGUAUAACGAUAUGUAAGAAGCAUUAUAAUAAAAAUUUCGAAACUUGAUUUUUACAAUACCCUGCUAUACAUAAUUAUUAAUA